rnacentral:rRNA from 1 species
ACUAUCGUUAACUGAAUACAUAGGUUAACGAGGCGAACCGGGGGAACUGAAACAUCUAAGUACCCCGAGGAAAAGAAAUCAACCGAGAUUCCCCCAGUAGCGGCGAGCGAACGGGGAGCAGCCCAGAGUCUGAAUCAGCUUGUGUGUUAGUGGAACGGUCUGGAAAGUCCGACGGUACAGGGUGAUAGUCCCGUACACCAAAAUGCACAGGCUGUGAACUCGAAGAGUAGGGCGGGACACGUGGUAUCCUGUCUGAAUAUGGGGGGACCAUCCUCCAAGGCUAAAUACUCCUGACUGACCGAUAGUGAACCAGUACCGUGAGGGAAAGGCGAAAAGAACCCCGGCGAGGGGAGUGAAAAAGAACCUGAAACCGUGUACGUACAAGCAGUGGGAGCACCUUCGGGUGUGACUGCGUACCUUUUGUAUAAUGGGUCAGCGACUUAUAUUCUGUAGCAAGGUUAACCGUAUAGGGGAGCCGCAGGGAAACCGAGUCUUAACUGGGCGUUAAGUUGCAGGGUAUAGACCCGAAACCCGGUGAUCUAGCCAUGGGCAGGUUGAAGGUUGGGUAACACUAACUGGAGGACCGAACCGACUAAUGUUGAAAAAUUAGCGGAUGACUUGUGGCUGGGGGUGAAAGGCCAAUCAAACCGGGAGAUAGCUGGUUCUCCCCGAAAGCUAUUUAGGUAGCGCCUCGUGAACUCAUCUUCGGGGGUAGAGCACUGUUUCGGCUAGGGGGUCAUCCCGACUUACCAACCCGAUGCAAACUACGAAUACCGAAGAAUGUUAUCACGGGAGACACACGGCGGGUGCUAACGUCCGUCGUGAAGAGGGAAACAACCCAGACCGCCAGCUAAGGUCCCAAAGUCAUGGUUAAGUGGGAAACGAUGUGGGAAGGCACAGACAGCCAGGAUGUUGGCUUAGAAGCAGCCAUCAUUUAAAGAAAGCGUAAUAGCUCACUGGUCGAGUCGGCCUGCGCGGAAGAUGUAACGGGGCUAAACCAUGCACCGAAGCUGCGGCAGCGACGCUUAUGCGUUGUUGGGUAGGGGAGCGUUCUGUAAGCCUGCGAAGGUGGCCUGUGAGGGCUGCUGGAGGUAUCAGAAGUGCGAAUGCUGACAUAAGUAACGAUAAAGCGGGUGAAAAGCCCGCUCGCCGGAAGACCAAGGGUUCCUGUCCAACGUUAAUCGGGGCAGGGUGAGUCGACCCCUAAGGCGAGGCCGAAAGGCGUAGUCGAUGGGAAACAGGUUAAUAUUCCUGUACUUGGUGUUACUGCGAAGGGGGGACGGAGAAGGCUAUGUUAGCCGGGCGACGGUUGUCCCGGUUUAAGCAUGUAGGCGGAGGUUCCAGGUAAAUCCGGUACCUUUUAACGCUGAGGUGUGAUGACGAGGCACUACGGUGCUGAAGUAACAAAUGCCCUGCUUCCAGGAAAAGCCUCUAAGCAUCAGGUAACAUUAAAUCGUACCCCAAACCGACACAGGUGGUCAGGUAGAGAAUACCAAGGCGCUUGAGAGAACUCGGGUGAAGGAACUAGGCAAAAUGGUGCCGUAACUUCGGGAGAAGGCACGCUGGUGUGUAGGUGAAGUCCCUGCGGACGGAGCUGAGACCAGUCGAAGAUACCAGCUGGCUGCAACUGUUUAUUAAAAACACAGCACUGUGCAAACACGAAAGUGGACGUAUACGGUGUGACGCCUGCCCGGUGCCGGAAGGUUAAUUGAUGGGGUUAUCCGUAAGGAGAAGCUCUUGAUCGAAGCCCCGGUAAACGGCGGCCGUAACUAUAACGGUCCUAAGGUAGCGAAAUUCCUUGUCGGGUAAGUUCCGACCUGCACGAAUGGCGUAAUGAUGGCCAGGCUGUCUCCACCCGAGACUCAGUGAAAUUGAACUCGCUGUGAAGAUGCAGUGUACCCGCGGCAAGACGGAAAGACCCCGUGAACCUUUACUAUAGCUUGACACUGAACAUUGAGCCUUGAUGUGUAGGAUAGGUGGGAGGCUUUGAAGCGUGGACGCCAGUCUGCGUGGAGCCAACCUUGAAAUACCACCCUUUAAUGUUUGAUGUUCUAACGU